AUUGAACGCUGGCGGAAUGCUUUACACAUGCAAGUCGAACGGCAGCACGGGGCAACCUGGUGGCGAGUGGCGAACGGGUGAGUAAUACAUCGGAACGUGCCCAAUCGUGGGGGAUAACGUAGCGAAAGUUACGCUAAUACCGCAUACGAUCUACGGAUGAAAGCGGGGGAUCGCAAGACCUCGCGCGAGUGGAGCGGCCGAUGUCAGAUUAGGUAGUUGGUGGGGUAAAGGCUCACCAAGCCAACGAUCUGUAGCUGGUCUGAGAGGACGACCAGCCACACUGGAACUGAGACACGGUCCAGACUCCUACGGGAGGCAGCAGUGGGGAAUUUUGGACAAUGGGCGCAAGCCUGAUCCAGCCAUUCCGCGUGCAGGAUGAAGGCCUUCGGGUUGUAAACUAGCUUUGUACGGUAACGAAACGGACCGAGGCUCUAAUACAGUUUGUCGUAAUAGACGGUACCGUAACGAAUAAGACACCGGCUAACUACGUGCCAGCAGCCGCGGUAAAACG
rnacentral:rRNA from 1 species